rnacentral:rRNA from 1 species
AUUAAAAACCAAUGCCCUUCGGGGCUCUCUGGUGAUUCAUAAUAACUUCUCGAAUCGCACGGCCUUGCGCCGGCGAUGGUUCAUUCAAAUUUCUGCCCUAUCAACUUUCGACGGCUGGGUCUUGGCCAGCCGUGGUGACAACGGGUAACGGAGGGUUAGGGCUCGACCCCGGAGAAGGAGCCUGAGAAACGGCUACUACAUCCAAGGAAGGCAGCAGGCGCGCAAAUUACCCAAUCCCGACACGGGGAGGUAGUGACAAUAAAUACUGAUACAGGGCUCUUUCGGGUCUUGUAAUUGGAAUGAGUACAAUUUAAAUCCCUUAACGAGGAACAAUUGGAGGGCAAGCCUGGUGCCAGCAGCCGCGGUAAUUCCAGCUCCAAUAGCGUAUAUUAAAGUUGUUGAGGUUAAAAAGCUCGUAGUAGAACCUUGGGCCUAGCCGGCCGGUCCGCCUCACCGCGUGCACUGGCUCGGCUGGGUCUUUCCUUCUGGAGAACGCAUGCCCUUCACUGGGUGUGCC